AGUAAAAGGCUAGCGACCUUGAUUUCAGGAAGAAGGGGAAGUGCUGUGAGGAAAGCUCAAGCAAGCCAGGAAGUAGGUCAUGGUGAGUGCAGGACCACUGCUACAACGGGAAGGAGCAGGCGGCUGAACAGCCUGAGCUGAAAUGCUGUCUCCACUCCCACCGCUCGGAGGAUAGACACAAAUGCUAAUGGAGAGCAAGUCAGACCAGAGAUCUGGAAAAGGAUUGAACCGUCUCUGUGUCUUGCUUUGAGCGCUGCUGUUGGGUGCUGUGAGUGGACCUCAAGUAAGCUCCGUUUUUGAAACAUGGAUGCAGUGACUUAUGAUGAUGUGCGUGUGAACUUCACUGGGGAAGAGUGGGAUUUGCUGGAUCCUUCCCAGAAAAGUCUCUAUGAAGAGGUGAUGCAGGAGACCUACCAGAACAUCACUGCUAUAGGCUACAAGUGGGAAGACCAUCAUAUUGAAGAACAUUGUCAAAGUUCUAGAAGACAUGAAAGGCAUGAAAAAAUUCAUAUUGGAGAGAAACCGUAUGAACGUAACCAAUGUGGUAAAGCCUUUGGAAGUGACAAUCAUCUCCAAGUACAUAAAAGAACAAAUACUGGAGAGAAACCUUAUGAAUGUAAUCAAUGUGGUAAAGCCUUUUCACAACAGAGUAGUCUCCAGUAUCAUAAAAGAACACAUGCUGGACAGAAACCUUAUGAAUGUAAUCAGUGCGGUAAAGCCUUGUCAUGUCAAAGAAGUCUCCAAUAUCAUAAAAGAACACAUACUGGAGAGAAAACUUGUGAAUGUAAUCAGUGUGGUAAAGCUUUUGUAAGACCCAGUCAACUCCAAAAACAUAAAGGAACACAUACUGGGGAGAAACCCUAUGAAUGUAAUCAGUGUGGUAAAGCCUUUGCACAUCACAAUAAUCUCCAAUAUCAUAAAAGAACACAUACUGGAGAGAAACCUUAUGAAUGCGAUCAAUGUGGAAAAGCCUUUGCAGUUCAGUAUAGUCUCCAAUAUCAUAAAAGAAGACAUACUGGAGAGAAACCUUAUGAAUGUAAUGAAUGUGGUGAAACCUUUGCAUUUCAGUAUAGUCUUCAAUACCAUAAAAGUACACAUACUGGAGAGAAACCUUAUGAAUGUAAUCAAUGUGGUAAAGCAUUUCCACAUCACAAUAAUCUCCAAAACCAUAAAAGAAUACAUAGUGGAGAGAAACCUUAUGAAUGUAAUCAAUGUGGUAAAGCUUUUGCAAGAACCGGUCAACUCCAAACCCAUAAAAGAACACAUACUGGAGAGAAACCUCAUGAGUGUGAUCAAUGUGGUAAAGCCUUUGCACUUCAGUAUAAUCUCCAAAAACAUAAAAGAAUACAUACUGGAGAGAAACCUUAUCAGUGUACUCAAUGUGAUAAAGCAUUUUCACAACACAGUAGUCUUCAAUAUCAUAAAAGAACACAUACUGGAGAGAAACCUUAUGAGUGUGAUCAAUGUCGUAAAGCCUUUGCAUGGCAAUAUAGUCUCUAUAUACAUAAAAGAA
rnacentral:lncRNA from 1 species